CAGACUCUCGCCUCCGAGCGGGUUCUGCAGGGCCUCCGGACCAGUGUCGUGUACCAGGCCCGGGCCGCCGCCGCCUCCAGGGAGGCUGCCGUGACCACCCAGCCGCUUGGCGCCGCCGGUACAGGUCAUCCUCGGGCUGACACAUUUCCUGCUUCUCCGACUGCGUCGCCCACGAGAGGCACCGAAGCACGCAUGGAAAGUUCAACCAAGAUCUUCACGCUCACUGCCUUUGGUUCGGUGAAAUUUAAGUCUGCAGCUAAAGGAGGGGAAAGGAAUCCCUACGCCUUCUCUGCUGCCAGCAACCAAAGCAAACUCUUCAAGCCAAGAACCCCAGUGGAUUCUUUCAAUUCAGUUUCUUCACAACUUUCUCCCUGCUGGCAAAUGUUAAAUUUCUAUUUCAAGGAGAAAUAAGAGCUUCAUUAACUUGCCUGUCUUCAGGCUUCUCUAA